rnacentral:rRNA from 1 species
GGGCCUUGGAGGAAGUAGGAGUAGUAA